GGGAAAGAUUUAUCGCUAUUGGAGGGGCCCGCGUCGGAUUAGCUWGUUGGUGAGGUAACGGCUCACCAAGGCGACGAUCCGUAGCUGGUCUGAKAGGAUGAUCAGCUACACUGGGACUUARACACGGCCCARACUCCUACGGGAGGCAGCAGUGGGGAAUAUUGGACAAUGGGGGCAACCCUGAUCCAGCAAUGCCGCGUGAGUGAUGAAGGCCUUAGGGUUGUAAAGCUCUUUUACCGGGGACGAUGAUGACSGUACCCGGAGAAUAAGCCCCGGCUAACUUCGUGCCAGCWGCCGCGGUACUGCGAAGGGGGCGAGCGUUGUUCGGAGUUACUGGGCGU
rnacentral:rRNA from 1 species